UACGUAUGUCCCGAGCGUUAUCCGGAUUUAUUGGGCGUAAAGCGAGCGCAGACGGUUGAUUAAGUCUGAUGUGAAAGCCCGGAGCUCAACUCCGGAAUGGCAUUGGAAACUGGUUAACUUGAGUGUUGUAGAGGUAAGUGGAACUCCAUGUGUAGCGGUGGAAUGCGUAGAUAUAUGGAAGAACACCAGUGGCGAAGGCGGCUUACUGGACAACAACUGACGUUGAGGCUCGAAAGUGUGGGUAGCAAACAGGAUUAGAUACCCUCGUAGUCC
rnacentral:rRNA from 1 species